GGCUGGUCCGAUGGCAGUGGGUUAUCAGAACUUAUUAACAUUAGUGUCACUAAAGUUGGUAUGCCACCCCCGCCCCACUGCUAAAUUUGACUGGNNNUAA
ensembl:misc_RNA Y_RNA Y RNA